rnacentral:tRNA from 1 species
GGAGGGGUGGCCGAGUGGCCGAAGGCGCUCCCCUGCUAAGGGAGUAACGGGUUUGUAGCCUGUUCGAGGGUUCGAAUCCCUCCUCCUCCGCCA